AUAACAANNAUUCCUCUAUUAACGGCGAGCGAACGAGGAAAAGCCCAGCACCGAAUCCUGUAUCGUUCUGAUACUAGGAAAUGUGGUGUUUAGGCCGUGCUUUGUGCCGGUAUGACUCUCCUCAAGUCCACUUGAUUGUGGCUUCAGGCCCAGAGAGGGUGUAAGGCCCGUGGAGGCGAGUCGUCCGGUGCCCGGCACGUCCUUCGAGUCGGGUUGUUUGGGAAUGCAGCCCAAAGCGGGUGGUAAACUCCAUCCAAGGCUAAAUACUAGCACGAGUCCGAUAGCGAAGAAGUACCGCGAGGGAAAGUUGAAAAGAACUUUGAAGAGAG
rnacentral:rRNA from 1 species